UUUGGAGUCCUCUUUCCUGCAUGUCUUUACCAGAUGUGAUCAAAAAUAUGAUCACACCCAUCAGAAAGGCAGCUCAUAAAACAUGACACUGUGUCCUUACCUCAGUCACUGGGUCUGGCAUGGUGUAACUUCUGGCCCUUCCUCAGAGUCACAGUGACCAUGAAAGAAAAAGACUUUGGAUCCAUUCAGGACCUGGAGGCAGCCAGGACAGCGCACUGAAGACCCUCAGGACAGAGGACUCCAGAGCUGCUGCGGGAAGCAGCCAGGACGAUGGGAUGAGUGUGUCCAAAGUGAAGCGGAUCGUGGAAAUGCAGCAAAGUGUUAAAUUUUUCGAAGCAAUUUUCAACUUCCUUUCUGCAGAGCAGCUGAAGUUCAAGACAAACCAUCCCAGGGAAGCCCAGCAGAAGCAGCCACAUAGAGUUUGGCAAUCCGCAAUCCAAAGAUACUCAACGCACUUCUGUCAUCGCCAGAAACUCACCUGGACCCAAGCACAGAGAGCUUCCUCCACCCCUCAGAGAGCGAGAGGGCGACUGUCGCACCUCCAGGAAUAUGCAGGAGGGGCCGUGGGCCCUGAGCACCUCACAAAGUCAUCAUCUUGUGUACUGGAAAAGUUUUCCACCACCAUGAAAAGCUGCCCUUCUGCCAUGCACCACCCUGCUGGGAGCCAGCUGAUUAUGGGCUGAAACCUCUGCAAACUGUGUGCUACAUAACCCUUUCCUCCUUUAACUUUGAGUGUCAGGUAUUUUUGCCUCAGUAACAAGAGGAAAGUAACUAAGACAUCUCCCAUGGUCUCCUGCGUUGACAUCAGCAGCCCUUGCUCAUGGGCGCCUGCCCCGCUCAGAGCCAGACCCUCCCACACACCCCAGGCCUGCACAUUCUGGACUCAGCUCUCAGAAUCUGAUCUCUGGCUCCCAGCAGAAGCCUUGCCAGCCAAGCUGCCAAUAGAAUGGAUCCUACCAAAUCAGAAGACCACAGACAAAGAAAAGAUAAAAACAUGAAGGGGAACCUGGCCCCAUAGACAAUCCCUGCCACCCUGAAGCCCCAAAGCCUUCUGCAGUUCCUGAACAUGCUCUGAUAUUCAAAGCUUUACAAGUUAACUUCUCAGCUUUGCCUUUAAAUCAUGCACAAUUUUUAUCUUUAUCUGAUAAACAGACAAAUAUAGUGAAUUUCAGAAAAGUCCACUAAACUGUCCUAAAGUUACAAGCUAGUAACAUGACGCUAAGAUCACAUACUUGACUACAAACCUGUAUUUUUCCCAUGUAACAGUUAUCACUUUGUAAAGUAAGAUGCCCCUCCCGACUUGGACAUGCUGCUUAACCUUCUUGUGACCUUGCAACUGUUCAUGUGUCAUCCUGGUUGCCUUCUCACCAGAAGCAGAAAGAGAACUCCAGGACAGGCCAUCAGAGAAUGGUUUGAUCAGGUCCUUAAAAAGGCCAUCAUCAAGAAAUCCAUAACAGCAAAGCCUGGAGACACUGGGGUAAAAGGAGCCUCUCUGCAUUGUUGAUGGGAAGGUAAACUAGUGCAACCUCAAUGGAAUUCAGAAUGGAGAGUCCUCAAAAAGCUGUAACUAGACAUUGCAGUUGACCCAGCUAUCUCCUUCCUAGGUAUCUUCUGAACACAUCAUAUUAUAGAGACCAAUGCACACCCAUGUUUACAACAGCACAGUUCAUAAUAGUUAAAUCUCGUAAGCAACCUGUAUGCACAUUAAUAGAUGCAUGGAUAAGGAAAAUGGAUUUAUAUGCAAUGGAGUACUACUCUGCCAUAAAGAAGAAAUAGACUUGAGGUAUUUUUAGGAAAAUGGAUGCACUUGGAGACCAUAAUGUGAAGCUCUGGGCACAGAGGUUUAAAGAUCACAUGAUUUCUCUUAUAUAAGAGACUCAAAGUAUAGAUAAAGAGCAAAUGCAAGAUAAAUAACAGAAAGUAGGAAAAUAGAUCUUUCUCAAAUGGGAAAGGUGAUCAAGAGAUGGAGGGGGGAGGAGAGAAAGAAGGAAAAGGGAAUGACAAUGUCCUACAUCCGUGCAUCAACUCCACAUGAGUCAUGGAAACAUGUAUUGCAAACAUGAGCUAACACAAUAGAGAAAGAAAGGAGAAUUCCGGAGCCUGAAAUUUAAGUAAACGUGUCAGAGUUGCGCGGUUUUUGUCUCUUGCAUAUUUGAAAUACACAGGGACACUGUUUACCUGACUGUAUCAGUCCACUUGCUGCCGCCGUAUCAAAACCCAGAGCUGUGUCUUUCACAAAUGAAAGAGCUUUAUUGGAGUCACAGAGGCGGAGCUGAGGUUGAGCCUCCCAGGGACAUUAUUCAGCCCAUAAAGGAUUCGGGCUGGGUUUUCAUGCAGAGUCAGAAAAAGAGUGAGAAGGAUCAAAGAAACCAAAGCUCUGCAGAAAGUGAAGACGAGAAUAGCAACUGUGGAUGAAUCAUGAUUAGGGUUUUUUUUCUCCUUUUUAUAGGAAACUCGAUUUGUCAGAUAGGAAAAGGUAGCGAGAGAGGCAUUUAGCUGUCUCUCUCCACACUGAACAAGUCUGAGAAUUGCUUGGGAGAAAGGUAAAUUUGGCUUUAACCGUGGGCUGGCCAAAGAAAAAGCUAUUCAGACUUCAGAGGACAGCUCUUACCUAUUGUACUGCCAUGAAAGUAAAAUUAAGAACCAACGUUUAGAAUUUAUAUACUGACUCUUCAAACCUUCUGGAUAAGAAAAAAGUAUUUGAAAGAUUCAGAGCUCUGUGUUUGUUGGUGUGUAGUGAGCAGACCUUGCAAUUAAGCACAAGACCUAUUUAGCAGUAGAUUGAGUGUUAUGUAACCCUGCUUCUUAAACCUCAUUUCCUGCUCUGCUCAAUCAGGGCUCCCAGAUGUGUCUGCAGAGGCUGUCAAUGGAAGCAAAGAACAGCAUUUAGAAAGCACUUCAUAUAAACGUAAUACAUAGUUGCUAUAAUUAUUAAUCUUUUAAAAAGUCCCUUUGGAACAUCUUUGCCACUAAGUGACAUUUUUAUGUACAGUUUUGUUUGUUUGUUUAUUUGUUUGUUUUUGAGACUAGGGUCUUGCUAAGUUUCCCAGGCUGGCCCUGAGCUUGUGAUUUUCCUGUCCCCAUCUUCUAAGUAGCUGGUAUUACAGACAUGUUCCAAUAUGUCUGGUACUAGAAGAUGUGACCCAUUUUUAAAGUUUUCCCAGAUCAUCUAUCUCCUACCAUCUAGAGACCAUCCAUCUCCUACAACCUACACAUAAAAGUGUCCAUAAUGGCAGAGUGCAUGUGUAAUUUCAGCACUGGGAGAGGCUGAGGCAGGAGGACUGCAAGUUGAGCUCAGCCUGGGCAAUUUAGUAAUUUAGUAGGACCCUGCCUGAAAAUUAAAAAAAAAAUUAAAGUUUAUGAAAUGAAAUUCUUCUCCCUAUGAACUCUAUUGUAUCUUCAAAAUUUAUUGUAUUUGUGAUUGCCAUAUAAUUGUACUCUAUCUAGAUGUCCCCCAAAGCCUCAUUCGCUCAUUGGUGGGGCUUUGGGGAAGCGAUUGGAUCAUGGGGGUGAGGCACUCUCACUGGAUUAGUCCAGAUCUGGAGAGUGGAACCUGAUUGGAGGAGGUGGUUACUGCAGGUGUGGCCUGGACCUGUCCAUCACCCGUCCUCCUCCCUCCUUGAUCACUCUCUGCUUCCUACCCAUCAUGCCAUGAACUGUUUCCCUUCUGCCAUGCUGCCCUGCCUUGGAGCCAGCCUAAGCUUCUAUCAACUAUGAGCCAAAAUAAACCUUUCCUCACUUA